rnacentral:misc_RNA from 1 species
GAUGAAGAACGUAGCGAAAUGCGAUAAGUAAUGUGAAUUGCAGAAUUCAGUGAAUCAUCGAAUCUUUGAACGCACAUUGCGCCCCUUAGUAUUCCGAGGGGCAUGCCUGUUCGAGCGUCAUUAUAACCCCUCAAGCUCAGCUUGGUGUUGGGGCCUGCUGCACUGGCAGCCCUUAAAAUCAGUGGCGGCGCCAUCUGGCUCUAAGCGUAGUAAUUCUUCUCGCUAUGGAGUCCUGGUGGAUGCUUGCCAUCAACCCCCAAUUUUUCUAUGGUUGACCUCGGAUCAGGUAGGGAUACCCGCUGAACUUAAGCAUAUCAAUAAGCGGAGGA